rnacentral:rRNA from 1 species
AGUGAACGCUGGCGGUAGGCCUAACACAUGCAAGUCGAACGGCAGCACAGUAAGAGCUUGCUCUUACGGGUGGCGAGUGGCGGACGGGUGAGGAAUACAUCGGAAUCUACUUUUUCGUGGGGGAUAACGUAGGGAAACUUACGCUAAUACCGCAUACGACCUACGGGUGAAAGCAGGGGAUCUUCGGACCUUGCGCGAUUGAAUGAGCCGAUGUCGGAUUAGCUAGUUGGCGGGGUAAAGGCCCACCAAGGCGACGAUCCGUAGCUGGUCUGAGAGGAUGAUCAGCCACACUGGAACUGAGACACGGUCCAGACUCCUACGGGAGGCAGCAGUGGGGAAUAUUGGACAAUGGGCGCAAGCCUGACCCAGCCAUACUGCGUGGGUGAAGAAGGCCUUCGGGUUGUAAAGCCCUUUUGUUGGGAAAGAAAAGCAGCAGGUUAAUACCCCGCUGUUCUGACGGUACCCAAAGAAUAAGCACCGGCUAACUUCGUG